GACGAACGCUGGCGGCGUGCUUAACACAUGCAAGUCGAGCGGUAAGGCCCUUUCGGGGGUACACGAGCGGCGAACGGGUGAGUAACACGUGGGUGACCUGCCCUUAGCUCUGGGAUAAGCCUGGGAAACUGGGUCUAAUACCGGAUAUGACUCCAUGACGCAUGUUGUGGGGUGGAAAGCCUUGUGCGGCUAGGGAUGGGCCCGNGGCCUAUCAGCUUGUUGGUGGGGUGAUGGCCUACCAAGGCGACGACGGUAGCCGGCCUGAGAGGGCGACCGGCCACACUGGGACUGAGACACGGCCCAGACUCCUACGGGAGGCAGCAGUGGGGAAUCUUGCGCAGUGGGCGAAAGGCCUGACGCAGCGACGCCGCGUGAGGGAUGACGGCCUCGGUU
rnacentral:rRNA from 1 species